AGGAAGCUGAGAAAUCGAGUGAUUAACGUUGUUUAACUUGUUAAAAGUUUAUUUAAACGCUAAAAAGGAAGAAAUAAUGAUACAUAUCUGAACUGCAUCCCAAACGAACCAUUUUGGGUGAAGUAAUUAUAUCUGUUAGUCAGGUUUUAUGUUCCAGUUAAAAAGUUUGACAUGAGACCGGUUCUCCCGUGAUAUGUGUGUGUACAUGAAGACACGCAUGACAAGAGAAUAGAUGGCGAGCCCUUGUCAGCUGAAGGACCUGUUACAUUGCCUGGUAACCAAUUGACCAUAUGCAUGGAACUUCCGCAUAAAGAUAAGACAAUACUCGUAAACUUCCGGUAAAGCUGAUUUAAUGUUGUGGUUUAUACAGGUACAGAAACAUCUCCUGCCUAGUUCUUGUCAGAAA